rnacentral:rRNA from 1 species
GAUGAACGCUGGCGGCAUGCCUAAUACAUGCAAGUCGAACGAGAGGAAGGAAAGCUUGUUUUUCUGAAUCUAGUGGCGAACGGGUGAGUAACACGUAGGUAACCUGCCCAUGUGCCCGGGAUAACUUCUGGAAACGGAUGCUAAAACCGGAUAGGUAGCAGACAAGCAUUUGACUGCUAUUAAAGUGGCUAAGGCCAUGAACAUGGAUGGACCUGCGGUGCAUUAGCUAGUUGGUGAGGUAACGGCCCACCAAGGCGACGAUGCAUAGCCGGCCUGAGAGGGCGGACGGCCACAUUGGGACUGAGACACGGCCCAAACUCCUACGGGAGGCAGCAGUAGGGAAUUUUCGUCAAUGGGGGAACCCUGAACGAGCAAUGCCGCGUGAGUGAGGAAGGUCUUCGGAUCGUAAAGCUCUGUUGUAAGAGAAAAACGACAUUCAUAGGGAAUGAUGAGUGAGUGAUGGUAUCUUACCAGAAAGUCACGGCUAACUACGUGCCAG